AGUGAACGCUGGCGGUAGGCCUAACACAUGCAAGUCGAACGGCAGCACAGUAAGAGCUUGCUCUUACGGGUGGCGAGUGGCGGACGGGUGAGGAAUACAUCGGAAUCUACUUUUUCGUGGGGGAUAACGUAGGGAAACUUACGCUAAUACCGCAUACUACCUACGGGUGAAAGCAGGGGAUCUUCGUACCUUGCGCAAUUGAAUUAGCCGAUGUCGGAUUAGCUAGUUGGCGGGGUAAAGGCCCACCAAGGCGACGAUCCGUAGCUGGUCUGAGAGGAUGAUCAGCCACACUGGAACUGAGACACGGUCCAGACUCCUACGGGAGGCAGCAGUGGGGAAUAUUGGACAAUGGGCGCAAGCCUGAUCCAGCCAUACCGCGUGGGUGAAGAAGGCCUUCGGGUUGUAAAGCCCUUUUGUUGGGAAAGAAAAGCAGCAGGUUAAUACCCCGCUGUUCUGACGGUACCCAAAGAAUAAGCACCGGCUAACUUCGUG
rnacentral:rRNA from 1 species